rfam:Streptomyces hygroscopicus subsp. jinggangensis 5008, complete genome.
GGUCAUGAGCGUCAGCGCCAAGCCCUGGCUCGCUGACCGGCAACCCUCGCAUCGCGGUGGGGUGCCCCAGGUGACGACCGGACCGGAUGACGUUUUCGGUAAGCGCGAGGC